rnacentral:lncRNA from 1 species
CUUGGUGAUUUAGGCUCAGUUUUGGGGUUCUGUUUUGGGGUUUUAGGGCUCGGUUUUGGGGUUCAGUUUUGGGGUUUCAGAGUUCAGCUUUUGGGGCUCAGUUUUGGGGCUCAGUUUGGGGCUCAGUUUUGGGGUUUUGGGGCUCAAUUUUGGGCUCAAUUUUGGGGUUUGAUUUUGGGGUUUGAUUUUGGGGUUUCAGGGCUCAGCUUUCAGGCCUCAGCUUUGGGGAUUUGCUUUGGGGUUUUGGGGCUCCGUUUUGGGGCUCAGUUUUGGGGUUUUAGGACUCAGUUUUGGGUUCAUUUUGGGGGUUUUGGGUCUCAGCUUUGGGACUCAGGCGCUCAGUUUUGGGGCUCAUUUUGGGGGUUUUGGGGCUCAUUUUUGGGGUUUUAGGGCUCAGUUUUGGGGCUCAGCUUUGGGGCUCAGUUUUGGGGUUUCGAGGCUCAUUUUGGGGCCCAUUUUUGGGACAUUUCGGGGCCUUUUGGGGUGGUUUUUGGGGCGCCCACCUGCACUGCAGGUCUCCCAGCCUCUGGCCUCAGCUUUGGGGCUGUUUUGGGGUUCAUUUUUGGGGUUUCAGAGCUCAGUUUUGGGUUCACUUUUGGGGUUUCAGGGCUCAGUUCUCAGGCUGCUUUGCUUUGGGGUUUUUGGGGUCAGUUUGGGGGCUCAGUUUUGGGGCUCAGGUUUGGGGUUCAGUUUUGGGGUUUCGAGGCUCAUUUCGGGGCCCAUUUUUGGGACAUUUCGGGGCUUUUUGGGGUGGUUUUUGGGGUCCCCACCUGCGCUGCAGGCGCUGCCUCAGGGCUCCCAGCUCUGGCCUCAGCUUUGGGGUUCAGUUUUGGGGUUUGGGGGCUCAGUUUUGGGUUUUAGAGCUCAGUUUUGGGGUUCCAUUUUGGGGUUCUGCUUUGGGUUUCAGGGCUCAGUUCUGGGGCUGUUUUGGGGUUCUGCUUUGGGGUUUCAGAGUUCAGCUUUUGGGGCUCAGUUUUCGGGUUUGGGGUUCAGUUUUCGGGUUCAGUUUCAGGAUGUUGGGGAUGGGUUUUGGGUUCAUUUUGGGGGUUUCAGGGCUCAGUUUUGGGGCUCAGCUUUGGGGUUUUAGGACUCAGUUUUGGGUUCAUUUUUGGGGUUUUGGGGCUCAGCUUUGGGACUCAGGCACUCAGUUUUGGGGCUCAGUUUUGGGGCUCAUUUUUGGGGUUUUGGGGCUCAGCUUUGGGACUCAUUUUUGGGGUUCAGUUUUGGGGUUUCGAGGCUCAUUUCGGGGCCCAUUUUUGGGACAUUUCGGGGCUUUUUGGGGUGGUUUUUGGGGUCCCCACCUGCGCUGCAGGCGCUGCCUCAGGGCUCCCAUCUCUGGCCUCAGCUUUGGGGUUCAGUUUUGGGGUUCAGUUUUGCGUUUCAGGGCUCAGUUUUGGGGCUGUUUUGGGAUUCAGUUUUGAGGUCUCACAGUUCAGUUUUGGGGCUCAGCUUCGGGGUUUUGGGGUUCAGUUUUCGGGUUCAGUUUCAGAAUGUUGGGGAUGGGUUUUGGAUUCAUUUUUGGGGUUUUGGGGCUCAGCUUUGGGGCUCAGGCACUCAGUUUUGGGGCUCAGCUUUGGGUUUGGGGGCUCAUUUUUGGGGCUCAGUUUUGGGGCUCAUUUUUGGGGUUUUGGGGCUCAGUUUGGGGCUCAGGUUUGGGGUUUUGAGGUUCAGUUUUUGGGUUCAGUUUCAGGAUGUUGGGGAUGGGUUUUGGGUUCAUUUUUGGGGUUUUGGGGCUCAGCUUUGGGACUCAGGCACUCAGUUUUGGGGCUCCGUUUUGGGUUUUAGGGCUCAGUUUUGGGGCUCAUUUUUGGGGUUCAGUUUUGGGGUUUCGAGGCUCAUUUCGGGGCCCAUUUUUGGGACAUUUCGGGGCUUUUUGGGGUGGUUUUUGGGGUCCCCACCUGCGCUGCAGGCGCUGCCUCAGGGCUCCCAGCUCUGGCCUCAGCUUUGGGGUUCAGUUUUGGGGUUUUAGGGCUCAGUUUUGGGGUUUGGGGGCUCAGUUUUGGGGUUUGAGGGCUCAGUUUUGGGGCUCAGUUUUGGGGUUUUGGGGCUCAAUUUUGGGGUUCGCUUUUGGGGUUUCAGGGCUCAGUUUUCGGGCUGCUUUGGGGUUCUGAUUUGGGGUUUUGGGGCUCAGUUUUGGGGUUUUGGGGCUCUGUUUUUUGGUUUUGAGGAUGACUUUUGGGUUCAU